rnacentral:rRNA from 1 species
UACGUAGGGGGCAAGCGUUGUCCGGAAUCAUUGGGCGUAAAGAGCGUGUAGGCGGCCCGAUAAGUCCGCUGUGAAAAGUCCAGGGCUCAACCCUGGGAUGCCGGUGGAUACUGUCGGGCUCGAGUCCGGAAGAGGAGUGUGGAAUUCCUGGUGUAGCGGUGAAUGCGCAGAUAUCAGGAGGAACACCAAUGGCGAAGGCAGCACUCUGGGACGUGACUGACGCUGAGACGCGAAAGCGUGGGGAGCAAACAGG